GGGGGCCCUGGCCCUGCCCCCUGGCUGAGCUGGCAGCAGCAAGAAGGGGCAGCUGCUGAGAAAAAAGAGCCCAGGGAACUGCUUUUAACUGGAGAUGUGAGCACAGAGGCUUAGCCUCAUUCGUGCCAACGUUUCUCCUCCCCUGGGCAGGAAUUGGGCGCCUGAUUGCUGAGUGUCAUCUUGACCCCAUCAUCCUGCCACUGUGGCAUGUUGGGAUGAACGACGUCCUUCCCAACAGCCCGCCCUACUUCCCCCGCUUCGGACAGGAGAGUGACCGCAAGGGAGCAUGCGACAAGUCCUCCCCUUGCUCCUUGUCACCCUCGGUGUGUGGCCUCCCCACAGAAGAUCACCGUGCUG